AAGUGGAGCAAUCCAUGAGUAGAGUGGCGAACGGGUGAGUAACACGUGGGUGACCUGCCUUCGAGUGGGGGAUAACGUCCCGAAAGGGACGCUAAUACCGCAUGACAUCCUGCCUUUGAAGAGGCGGUGAUUAAAGCUGGGGAUCGCAAGACCUGGCGCUUGAAGAGGGGCCCGCGUCCGAUUAGCUAGUUGGUGGGGUAACGGCCUACCAAGGCGACGAUCGGUAGCCGGCCUGAGAGGGUGGACGGCCACACUGGGACUGAGACACGGCCCAGACUCCUACGGGAGGCAGCAGUGGGGAAUUGUUCGCAAUGGGCGCAAGCCUGACGACGCAACGCCGCGUGGAGGAUGAAGAAUUUCGGU
rnacentral:rRNA from 1 species